rnacentral:rRNA from 1 species
CAACCCUGGCGACGAGUGGCGAACGGGUGAGUAAUACAUCGGAACAUGUCCAGUAGCGGGGGAUAACCUGUCGAAAGAUAGGCUUAAUACCGCAUACGAUCUACGGAUGAAAGCGGGGGACCGCAAGGCCUCGCACUAUUGGAGUGGCCGAUGUCGGAUUAGCUAGUUGGUGAGGUAAAAGCUCACCAAGGCGACGAUCCGUAGCUGGUCUGAGAGGACGAUCAGCCACACUGGAACUGAGACACGGUCCAGACUCCUACGGGAGGCAGCAGUGGGGAAUUUUGGACAAUGGGCGCAAGCCUGAUCCAGCCAUGCCGCGUGAGUGAAGAAGGCCUUCGGGUUGUAAAGCUCUUUCGGUGAAGACGAAACGGUUAGUGUCAAUAGCACUGACUAAGCGGAUCACAGAAAAGCACCGGCAAUACGUC